NNCUAAUCUCGAAGCUAUUGGGCCCAUAACCCAAAAAUGAUACAUAGUCUC
rnacentral:tRNA from 1 species